rnacentral:tRNA from 1 species
UCAAUUCCGCGCGAGACUAUUUUAGGGGAAUUAGCUCAGAUGGCUAGAGCGCCUGCUUUGCACGCAGGAGGUCA